rnacentral:rRNA from 1 species
UACGUAGGGUGCAAGCGUUUGUCCGGAAUUAUUGGGCGUAAAGAGCUCGUAGGCGGUUUGUUGCGUCGGCUGUGAAAUCCCGAGGCUCAACCUCGGGUCUGCAGUCGAUACGAGCAAACUAGAGUGUUGCAGGGGAGACUGGAAUUCCUGGUGUAGCGGUGAAAUGCGCAGAUAUCAGGAAGAACACCAAUGGCGAAAGCAGCUCUCUGGGACGGUACUGACGCUGAGACGCGAAAGCGUGGGGAGCGAACAGG